rnacentral:ncRNA from 1 species
ACUCGAUAAAGGCAAAACUGAUGAAAAUCAGUGACGCAAAACUAAAGGGGCUAAGGUGCUUUAAGAACUAUGCCAGCCAGUUACCGAA